rnacentral:rRNA from 1 species
CAGUAGCCGCGGGAAUACGUAGGGUGCAAGCGUUAAUCGGAAUUACUGGGCGUAAAGCGUGCGUAGGCGGCUUCUUAAGUCGGAUGUGAAAUCCCUGAGCUUAACUUAGGAAUUGCAUUCGAUACUGGGAAGCUAGAGUAUGGGAGAGGAUGGUAGAAUUCCAGGUGUAGCGGUGAAAUGCGUAGAGAUCUGGAGGAAUACCGAUGGCGAAGGCAGCCAUCUGGCCUAAUACUGACGCUGAGGUACGAAAGCAUGGGGAGCAAACAGGAUUAGAUACCCCUGUAGUCCCUGUCUCUUAUAU